rnacentral:rRNA from 1 species
UACGUAGGGAGCAAGCGUUGUUCGGAUUUACUGGGCGUAAAGGGCGCGUAGGCGGCAUAUUAAGUCAGCUGUGAAAUCUCCGAGCUUAACUCGGAACUGUCAGCUGAUACUGAUGUGCUAGAGUGCGGAAGGGGCAAUCGGAAUUCUUGGUGUAGCGGUGAAAUGCGUAGAUAUCAAGAGGAACACCUGAGGUGAAGACGGGUUGCUGGGCCGACACUGACGCUGAGGAACGAAAGCUAGGGGAGCAAACAGG